AUGGCUGUUCGCCAUUUAAAGUGGUACGCGAGCUGGGUUUAGAACGUCGUGAGACAGUUCGGUCCCUAUCUGCCGUGGGCGCUGGAGAACUGAGGGGGGCUGCUCCUAGUACGAGAGGACCGGAGUGGACGCAUCACUGGUGUUCGGGUUGUCAUGCCAAUGGCACUGCCCGGUAGCUAAAUGCGGAAGAGAUAAGUGCUGAAAGCAUCUAAGCACGAAACUUGCCCCGAGAUGAGUUCUCCCUGACCCUUUAAGGGUCCUGAAGGAACGUUGAAGACGACGACGUUGAUAGGCCGGGUGUGUAAGCGCAGCGAUGCGUUGAGCUAACCGGUACUAAUGAACCGUGAGGCUUAACCUUACAACGCCGAAGGUGUUU
rnacentral:rRNA from 1 species